rnacentral:rRNA from 1 species
CCCUUAGAUGUUCUGGGCCGCACGCGCGCUACACUGAUACAUUCAACGAGUUUCUUCCUGGUCCGAGAGGAAUGGGUAACCUUUUGAAAGUGCAUCGUGAUAGGGAUAGACUAUUGCAAUUAUUGGUCUUCAACGGGGAAUUCCUAGUAGACGUAGUUCAUCAGACUGCAUCGAUUACGUCCCUGCCCUUUGUACACACCGCCCGUCGCUCCUACCGAUUGAAACCAACGGUGAAAAAUUCGGAGAGAGUGAAUUUAGAAAUAGAUUUACGAUUGAAGUUUUUUAAAUCUUUUGUUUUAGAGGAAGGAGAAGUCGUAACA